rnacentral:rRNA from 1 species
GACGAACGCUGGCGGCGUGCCUAAUACAUGCAAGUCGAACGAACUCUGGUAUCGAUUGGUGCUUGCAUCAUGAUUUACAUUUGAGUGAGUGGCGAACUGGUGAGUAACACGUGGGAAACCUGCCCAGAAGCGGGGGAUAACACCUGGAAACAGAUGCUAAUCCCGCAUAACAACUUGGACCGCAUGGUCCGAGUUUGAAAGAUGGCUUCGGCUAGCACUUUUGGAUGGUCCCGCGGCGUAUUAGCUAGAUGGUGGGGUAACGGCUCACCAUGGCAAUGAUACGUAGCCGACCUGAGAGGGUAAUCGGCCACAUUGGGACUGAGACACGGCCCAAACGCCUACGGGAGGCAGCAGUAGGGAAUCUUCCACAAUGGACGAAAGUCUGAUGGAGCAACGCCGCGUGAGUGAAGAAGGGUUUCGGCUCGUAAAACUCUGUUGUUAAAGAAGAACAUAUCUGAGAGUAACUGUUCAGGUAUUGACGGUAUUUAACCAGAAAGCCACGGCUAACUACGUGCCAGCCGCCGCCGUAA